rnacentral:rRNA from 1 species
AAGACCUUGCGCUUUUAGAGCGGCCGAUGCCUGAUUAGCUUGUUGGUAAGGUAAAGGCUUACCAAGGCUUCGAUCAGUAGCUGGUCUGAGAGGACGACCAGCCACACUGGGACUGAGACACGGCCCAGACUCCUACGGGAGGCAGCAGUGGGGAAUUUUGGACAAUGGGGGCAACCCUGAUCCAGCCAUGCCGCGUGAGUGAAGAAGGCCUUCGGGUUGUAAAGCUCUUUCAGCCGGAACGAAACGGUUACGGUUAAUACCCGUGACUAAUGACGGUACCGGAAGAAGAAGCACCGGCUAACUACGUGCCAGCAGCCGCGGUAAUACGUAGGGUGCGAGCGUUAAUCGGAAUUACUGGGCGUAAAGCGUGCGCAGGUGGUUUUGUAAGUCAGAUGUGAAAGCCCCGGGCUCAACCUGGGAACU